UGAAAAUCUUGUAAGUUUAUUAUUUUUAUAAUUAGACACAAAUGAAUUUAUCACGUCUGUGUCACAAGAAAAAAAACAAUUAUAGGAACAUGAUGUGAAUCCUUGGAGAAGACGAUUAGAUCAUUAACAGUCCUGGACUUUCUGUUUAUUUGAAAGCUGUCAGCACAGAGACUUACUCAACCAUGUGGUUUAUACUGUGAACUGGUUCACGGUCCGAAGGUUGGGUUUAGUAUGCGAGAGGCUCACUGAGGAGACAAGGGGAAGGAUCACAGCCAAUUCCCCAGCACGAGUAGGAGGAAGACUGUAUACACAUCGUGUUUCACCUCGGAGACUCCUUUCUCUCACUGGUCAACGUCCCUUCUUCUACCCUGUGAUCGGGCAGUGGAGCCUUUAGGUUUAUCUGCCAUUGGAAAAGCUCUGACUCACACAAACACACUUUAUAGGUGAUGACUCAUUGCAACACAGGCCAUUCACAUCCACAGUACGCCGAAGCAAAACUGGUACGUGCCAGUGUGACUGUGUUUGCAUACACAUUAACCUUUAUAUGCAUUAAGGUGCUAUUGUGCAGAGGGCUGGUGACACACCACCUACGCAGCUUUUAUCUCACACAGUCACGGAGAUAAUCAGUGUUGCUGUAAGGGAGGUUUUGUUAGCCCUCAUAUCUGUUAGACUGAAAAUCUUGUCACUUGCUGGGCAGCUCUAUGAAUUUUUGCGUGUGUGUAAAAGUGUGUAUAUUGUCAAACAGAUAAUGAUAUUAACUCACAAUAUGUGUGUGCGUUCGUAUGUACAAGUCCAAGGCUGAAAAGUAUUCAUCAUGACACAGGCAGAUGAGGAAUGAUAAAUGUGUUGGGUGACUCAUGCAAGACAGACACAGGAGCCAUCAGCUGACACAGUGGCAGCAGCAGCCUCCACUGUGGCAGACAACACAUACUGUACCCCCCACACAUGCAUAUAUAUCCUGAUAAACAGAGACAGAGUGGUGCAAAAUGUCCCCGGCUUCAUUUGUACAACUUUUGCAUGUCUGUGGAAGAGAUGAGUCAUUUUCAACUGCAGUCGUCACGUAACUACUGUCACUUAGGCUGAUUCACACUCUGAACAAUUUCUAAAAUAAUAAUCAACCCCUCUGCUGCCUUUUUUAUGCAAAGUGACUGAGGGUACACCAUGUACUUAUAAUAGAAUGGCAACUCACUGGAACAACGCAAAAUGUGCAACUUCUUUAUUUAUAAAGAUGAAUAACAUAUUAAAAUGCACUGGGAGCUCCUGUACAGCUGAAUAUGUAAUGUGCAUUUUGGCAUGAGCUAUAUAAAAAUAUGUAAGACAUGAACUGGCUGGAGUUUCAAACACACGUUAGUAAAGAACAGGUUCUCUUACAAAGCAUCACACGACGGCAGCACGCUGACAAUACAAUACUGCUCAGACCACCAGUGUGAGGUGAUUUUGGCAAUGACACGGCUUUUCAUGAACAUCAUAAAACAGUACUACACACACAGAUAGACAAAAACUAAGGCAAAUAAAGAAAUUAAUGUUCA